CUUUUUCUCUUGGCAGGUUUUGAUAAAUCUUCCCCAUUGAGCCUGUAACUUGCUGUGGGUUAGACUGGUGAUCACAUGACCAAGUUAAGACGCAUCAGGCACAAGUCUGAUAGACAAAACAGAAGUUUGCAUAGAGGAGUGCGAGUCCCGCCCCUACUUCCUGUACUUCAGCUGAGACAAAGAUGAUGCUGCAGUUGGUUAAGGUUAUGUUCUGAAUGGUUUUUGGAAGCCUUUGACCCUUAGUGUAGGCAUGGAACCAAAAAUUGAGGAACAGGAUUAAGAAGAUGACUCCAUACAGCCAAAUGAUGUAUAAGAAGAUCGGGUACUGGUACGGACAAUCUUUUAUGAUGAAGAACUGGCUGAUAUGGAAAGUGACCAUGAUAAACUGCGUCUAUGGGGUGGAAAAAAAAAAAGAAGAGGAAAUAAUUAACAUGUAUAAUUGCAUAAUUAACAUGUAUAAGUACAUUUAUAAGUAUAAGUAUAAUUGUUCCUGAUCGCGUUAUCACCCAACAAUAUGUGGACUAGAUUCGUUUUUAGCAAAGUAAAUAUAAUUUAAUUUUACAUUUGAAAUUUGUGUUCCAAUUGUAUUCUCCCAAAAAAAUUACAUUUGAACUAAAGAGCAUUUGCCCCUUAAAGUAAGUAAAAAAAAUCACUAGUAAAGUAAAGCAAGUGGCCCACGUGUAUUAAGCUCUGAGCAAGUUUUUGGCAGAAAUACACAGUGUAUAAAUUGUGCCCGUAAUUUUGUGAAUCAUAUUAGUAAACUGGGCAUGGA